GAAAUAUUACAGUAUAUAGAAAAACCAUCUUGGCCUUGAUAGUUGUAUUCUGAAGCUAGAUACUAAUAUAUUUCAUUAAAAUAAUGAUUGUCAUCCACUGAUAGGUUAAGGAAGAAUUAGAAUUAGGGCUGCGAUUUGAUGUGACAAAUUCCAUGAAGAGACCUUAGAAAGUUGUGAUCAUCUGUUGACAUCUGUACUUUGGUUUUCAUUUCUUUGUCUUUGUACCCUAGCCCCAUGCCUACUGUCUCCACAACACUCCUUGAAGAACAGAGAUUUAAAUGAGCCUCAGGGUCACAAAAAGCUGCCAAGAUUGGAAAGGGAAAUAUGAAUGCCGAAAUCAUGGCCAGAACUUUAGAUAGCAAAUCUGAGACUUAAUUCUACAUCCUUAAAUGGAGCCUUUCAGCAUCAUUCUUCCGACUGAGACUGUUAUGAGAAACAAUCGUGCAGUCAAGCCGGCAUUUACCAGGCAUGAAGAAGUGCCUCUCUUCUCUGACAUGACAGCAGAAGAGCUGCCACUUACCAUGAGUGCACUUUCGCUCCUUAGAGGGAAGUAAGGCGAAUUCAAGUGAGGGGAGAUCCUUCUUAAAGCUUCGCUUCUAAAUCAGAUGACUCGGUAUCCAUCGUCUUCACAGCUGUUGCUUUUGUUCCUAUAAAUAGGUCUUAAUAAAAAUAGUAAAUAAAAUCCUUAAUGUUCAAAUUUUUUCUUCAUUUUAUUGCUCUCUUUCUUGUUUAUUAAAUUUUUAAAAAAUUACUAUGAAAUUACUGUGAAUCUCUGACAAAUACCCUAAAGUUGGAAUUAUUUCAUUAUUAUUAUAGCUUUUUUCCCACUAGGUUUGAUUCCUGUGUAGCUAUAUGAAAGAGAUACUGCAUAAGCAGACAUUGUUGGAUCAGGAUAAUUACAAAUAUGUUAUAUAUAGUAUCUUGAAUUUCAUCUUGGUGAUAAUAGUAAGAUCAUUUUGAAAUAAGCUAUAAUAAAAUAAUUACACAU
rnacentral:lncRNA from 1 species